rnacentral:lncRNA from 1 species
AUGCCUUUCCAUUUGCCAGCUUCUAAUGGCGAACGGGCGCAGCUUGAAUUCCUGUUAAAGCGCAGACUAACAGCAGCGGUAUGUGGGUCCAGACCCCGUGGAGCACUUCUCCAUGUGGCACCGGGGCUGAUGGACACAGGAGCGACCUUGUGGUCAGGACGUAAAAACAAGCAGCUGGAGCAGAGUUCAGCAGAUGCACGGCGUCAGUCGAUGGAGGGCCCUCGAGCAAGGCACUUCCAGCACGUUUGGCGUCGCUCAGGGGGAGGAACGCAGCUGCUUUCACCCACAUCAGCAUCUGACAGAACAGACAGGACUCCAGAUCCAAGGAGCCGGGAAGGCGCUGGUGAGUAGCGGCCGGGCCUGAUGAAAAACAAAGAAACCCAUCACCUCAGCCUGAACAGGGACGCGCGAGCAGCGACCAAGUGAG